CCUUCCAUUUUAUAAGAUUUCAGGCUCCAAAUAGACCUAUUUCGUGACAAAAGGGAUUUGUAAGCACCAUGUAGAUAUAAGAGCAGAAGUGUGAUGCAAUAUAAAUGCCACACAAAAAGAUUACCUGCAGCCAAAGAAACCUCUAUUUGCAGACAAACCAGAAGGAUGUGCAGCUUGAAGAAUGUGAUGCUUUGUUGCAUCAAUUAACCUGUGUGAUAUGA